rnacentral:sRNA from 1 species
UCGUAUUGAUUUAUUAUGCGGUAUGG